GGUGAUCGGUGAAACCUCAAUCCUUAUAUCUGGUUAAGUCGAACAGAUAAAGGACAGCAAACCUGCUUUAAUGUAAUGUAUUAUAUUUGUAAAAAUAAAUAACUAUAUUGAUGUGUUUCGUUCAAAAAGGAAGGCAAAAAGAAAAGACAGGAAAAACUUCUAAUUAUUUUUUUACAUCUGAAACUUAAUUGAAAUGUAAUCUUG
rnacentral:lncRNA from 1 species